rnacentral:rRNA from 1 species
CACCUGAAAUCUUUUCGAAUUCAAGCGUAAUU